AUUGAACGCUGGCGGCAGGCCUAACACAUGCAAGUCGAACGAGUGGCGGACGGGUGAGUAAUGUCUGGGAAACUGCCCGAUGGAGGGGGAUAACUACUGGAAACGGUAGCUAAUACCGCAUACUAUCGGAUGUGCCCAGAUGGGAUUAGCUAGUAGGUGGGGUAAUGGCUCACCUAGGCGACGAUCCCUAGCUGGUCUGAGAGGAUGAACAGCCACACUGGAACGGAGACACGGUCCAGACGCCUACGGUAGGCAGCAGUGGGGAAUAUUGCACAAUGGGCGCAAGCCGGAUGCAGCCAUGCCGCGUGUAUGAAGAAGGCCUUAGGGUUGUAAAGUACUUUCAGCGGGGAGGCGUUACUGACAGAAGAAGCACCGGCUAACUCCGUGCCAGCAGCCGCGGUAAGAC
rnacentral:rRNA from 1 species